rnacentral:rRNA from 1 species
GACGAACGCUGGCGGCGUGCUUAACGCAUGCAAGUCGAACGGUGAAGCGCCUUCCUUUUUGGUGGGUGUGGAUGAGUGGCGAACGGGUGAGUAACACGUGAGUAACCUGCCCCCUUCUUCUGGAUAACCGCAUGAAAGUGUGGCUAAUACGGGAUAUUCUGGGUCUGUCGCAUGAUGGGUCUGGGAAAGAUAUUGUUUCGGUGGGGGAUGGGCUCGCGGCCUAUCAGCUUGUUGGUGGGGUGAUGGCCUACCAAGGCGGUGACGGGUAGCCGGCCUGAGAGGGUGGACGGUCACACUGGGACUGAGACACGGCCCAGACUCCUACGGGAGGCAGCAGUGGGGAAUAUUGCACAAUGGGCGCAAGCCCGAUGCAGCGACGCCGCGUGAGGGAUGGAGGCCUUCGGGUUGUGAACCUCUUUCGCCAGUGAAGCAGGCCUGCCUCGUUUGUGGGUGGGUUGACGGUAGCUGGAUAAGAAGCGCCGGCUAACUACGUG